GCCAGGCAUGGUGGCUCAUGCCUGUAAUCCCGGCACUUUGGGAGGCCGAGGUGGGUGGAUCACCUGAGGUCAGGAGUUCAAGACCAGCCUGGCCAACAUGGUGAAACCCCAUCUCUA
rnacentral:SRP_RNA from 2 species